GACUGAGGGGGGCUGCUCCUAGUACGAGAGGACCGGAGUGGACGCAUCACUGGUGUUCGGGUUGUCAUGCCAAUGGCACUGCCCGGUAGCUAAAUGCGGAAGAGAUAAGUGCUGAAAGCAUCUAAGCACGAAACUUGCCCCGAGAUGAGUCUUCCCUGAGACUUAGAGUCUCCUGAAGGAACGUUGAAGACGACGACGUUGAUAGGCCGGGUGUGUAAGCGCAGCGAUGCGUUGAGCUAACCGGUACUAAUGAACCGUGAGGCUUAACCUUACAACGCCGAAGCUGUU
rnacentral:rRNA from 3 species